GGUUGCUUUAUGAGCCCUGUUUGUAUUCUGUUCAGUGGUCACUGUGGGCCCUUUGGCCUUGCUCUCGUUUCCAUUGCUCAAGCCUGUUGCCUAAAAGCAGCCUUUACAGGUUGGAACUGGGUAAUGUUUCUCCCAUGAAUUAUCAGGAAAUUGCCAUGUUGUUUUCUGUCUAAACUACUGACCUUCACGGUGUCCGGCGGGAAAUGCGCCUCUGUGUUUAACUGGUAAUGACCUUUCAUGGAUGUUUGAUAAUGCCAGGGACGAUGAUGACUAAUGGCUGGGAGGGCUGAAGGUCUCCACCUCAAUGCAGGACUAUAAUUCAAAGCUUGCUUUGAUUCUCUCUAGACAGAGAAUCAGCUUUGCUACAUUAUACAAAUUCCAGGCAGGAGACAUCAAAGUUCCAAAGUUUGUAUCCCUUCCUCUUGGAAAUCCUUCUCCGGAUCUAAGGUCGGUCAUUUCAAAGUUGCCAUGAUUCCCGGAAAUCUGCCCCACUGUCUACAGGAUCACCAAGUGAGAUGCGGAAUUACCUCACUUCUCAGCUUCUGGUGCCGUGGAGAGCAGUCCAGUGUUUCCCUGGUGCCUGCGUAGCUCACAUGAGUCCUACUUGCAGGAUCUGCUGCCUCGAAACCCAGGGAGCGUGCCGACUGGGAACUGUGUAUACUGCAUAGAGUAUGUAAAUCAUAGGGUGGAGUGGAGAGAGAGUGUUUUAUUACAAACUUGACUGUAUCCUGAGCUCCGGAGAAGAAAGGAUUUAUAAGGUUCAAAUUGUUAUUAUUAGAGUCACUGAUGUGAAUAAUCCUGAUGCUUUCUGGAGACUCUCCCUUAGAAUGAAAAGGAGCAGCGUUACAACUGCCUGAGCUCCUCUGUCCAACUGCCUCUGGCCUCACCCCUCACAUUCCAUCCCCCACUCUGCUUGCAGAGCGGAUAUAUCUCAAACGUAAAUCUAAUCAUGCCACCCUUGGUCUCAGUGCCUUCAAAGGAUUUCCACUGACUUCUGAAUAAAGUACAAGUCCUUUAGCA
rnacentral:lncRNA from 1 species